rnacentral:rRNA from 1 species
UACGGAGGGUGCAAGCGUUAUCCGGAUUUAUUGGGUUUAAAGGGUGCGCAGGCGGGAUAGUAAGUCAGUGGUGAAAGCCCACAGCUCAACUGUGGAAUUGCCGUUGAUACUGCUAUUCUUGAAUGUAGUUGAAGUGAAUGGAAUGUAACAUGUAGCGGUGAAAUGCAUAGAUAUGUUACAGAACACCGAUUGCGAAGGCAGUUCACUAAGCUACUAUUGACGCUCAGGCACGAAAGCGUGGGGAGCAAACAGG